AGGGAAUCUUCCGCAAUGGACGAAAGUCUGACGGAGCAACGCCGCGUGAGUGAUGAAGGUUUUCGGAUCGUAAAACUCUGUUGUUAGGGAAGAACAAGUACCGUUCGAAUAGGGCGGCACCUUGACGGUACCUAACCAGAAAGCCACGGCUAACUACGUGCCAGCAGCCGCGGUAAUACGUAGGUGGCAAGCGUUGUCCGGAAUUAUUGGGCGUAAAGCGCGCGCAGGCGGUUUCUUAAGUCUGAUGUGAAAGCCCCCGGCUCAACCGGGGAGGGUGCUUGGAAACUGGGGAACUUGAGUGCAGAAGAGGAGAGUGGAAUUCCACGUGUAGCGGUGAAAUGCGUAGAGAUGUGGAGGAACACCAGUGGCGAAGGCGACUCUCUGGGCUGUAACUGACGCUGAGGCGCGAAAGCGUGGGGAGCAAAC
rnacentral:rRNA from 1 species